UACAGAGGUCCCGAGCGUUGUUCGGAUUCACUGGGCGUAAAGGGUGCGCAGGUGGGUUGGCAAGUUCGAUGUGAAAGCCCCCGGGCUUAACCCGGGAAUGGCAUUGGAAACUGCUGAUCUGGAGGAUCGGAGGGGGACUGGAAUUCUUGGUGUAGCAGUGAAAUGCGUAGAUAUCAAGAGGAACACCAGUGGCGAAGGCGAGUCCCUGGACGAUACCUGACACUGAGGCACGAAAGCCAAGGGAGCAAACAGG
rnacentral:rRNA from 1 species